rnacentral:rRNA from 1 species
GUCGCACGAGAAAGUCCGCAAGGAUGAGUAAAGUGGCGUACGGGUGAGUAACACGUGGAUCAUCUACCUUUUAGUGGGGAAUACCUCCUGGAAACGGGAGACAAUACCGCAUAAGCUCGAAAGAGGAAAGCCCGCAAGGGCGCUGAAAGAGGAGUCCGCGGCUGAUUAGCUAGAUGGCGGGGUAACGGCCCACCAUGGCGAAGAUCGGUAGCCGGCCUGAGAGGGCACACGGCCACACUGGCACUGAAACACGGGCCAGACUCCUACGGGAGGCAGCAGUGGGGAAUCUUGCACAAUGGAGGAAACUCUGAUGCAGCGACGCCGCGUGAGCGAUGAAGCCCUUCGGGGUGUAAAGCUCUUUCGACGGGAACGAUAAUAACGGUACCCGAAGAAGAAGCUGCGGCUAACUACGUGCCAGCAGCCGCGGUAAUACGUAGGCAGCAAGCGUUGUUCGGAAUUACUGGGCGUAAAGAGUGUGUAGGCGGUGUUGCAAGUCUGUCGUGAAAUCUCCCGGCUUAACUGGGAGGGUGCGGCGGAAACUGCAAUGCUAGAGGGUGGGAGAGGUAAGCGGAAUUCCUGGUGUAGCGGUGAAAUGCGUAGAUAUCAGGAGGAACACCUGUGGUGUAGACAGCUUACUGGACCACUUCUGACGCUGAGACACGAAAGCGUGGGUAGCAAACAGGAUUAGAUACCCUGGUAGUCCACGCCCUAAACGAUGCAUACUUGGUGUGAGCCAUUCAUUUGGUUCGUGCCGGAGCUAACGCGUUAAGUAUGC